UACGUAGGUGGCAAGCGUUUGUCCGGAAUUAUUGGGCGUAAAGCGCGCGCAGGCGGUCCUUUAAGUUCUGAUGUGAAAGCCCACGGCUCAACCGUGGAAGGUCAUUGGAAACUGGAGGACUUGAGUACAGAAGAGGAAAGCGGAAUUCCACGUGUAGCGGUGAAAUGCGUAGAGAUGUGGAGGAACACCAGUGGCGAAGGCGGCUUUCUGGUCUGUAACUGACGCUGAGGCGCGAAAGCGUGGGGAGCAAACAGG
rnacentral:rRNA from 1 species